AGUGAGUAGGAUGGUGUCGUCAUUGACUGUUACAUUCCUGGUUAUAUGUUCGCUUCAUUAAAAGGGGUUUCUUAUCUAAGUCUAAUACAUUGUAUAUCUUUUAAGGAAACGACUUUGUCGUGGUGAUGAUACUGGUGAGUGCUUGUAAACCACGGGCAUGCGCAGAAGGGAGGUGCAGGAUCUGAGGUGUUUGCUGAAUAAAUUACGAUUGCAUGGCUUAACGGCUGGUAUAAUCUUUUUAUGUAUAUUUGCUGACGCCAGGCGCCACGAGACUUUGCUUCACGU